GACAGAGGGUGCAAACGUUGUUCGGAAUUACUGGGCGUAAAGCGCGUGUAGGCGGUCGUGCAAGUCGGGUGUGAAAGCCCAGGGCUCAACCCUGGAAGUGCACUCGAUACUGCGCGACUAGAGUCUCGGGAGAGGGUGGUGGAACUCUCGGUGGAGAGGUGAAAUUCGUAGAUAUCGAGAAGAACACCCGUGGCGAAGGCGGCCACCUGGACGGUGACUGACGCUGAGACGCGAAAGCGUGGGGAGCAAACAGG
rnacentral:rRNA from 1 species